UAAAUAUCAUCUUUAUUCUGACGCCAGAUCCAGAUCUGAGGCCCGUUUUCCUUUAUAAGAGUACCCUCUCGACCUCACGAGUCCUCACCAGAUCUGAAGCUCGUAGGCAGCAGGCCUCCGCUAGAACCAUGAGAAAUGAGCUGCAGUGUGUGUUAGUGGAUGAAAGCUCAAAACGCUUUCAUAGAUCCUGACAGUUUUGAAGUAAUAGCAGGCCUGGCUUUGCUUUUCUUCAAAGCAUCUUGAGAGACCAAAAUCUGCAAUUUUUGGCACCAUGUUGUCAUCAAGCAAUAUAUUUGCAGGUUUGAGGUCUAAGUGGAGAAUAUGAAUCUUGUGGAGAUAAUGCAAACCCUCACAAAUUCCCUUGAUUAUUUCAUAGCGCUUUGUCCAUUGAGAUUCUCUUCAUUGAGAAAUUGUGCGGCAUGGAACAAUUGCAAUGAAGCUGUCCAACAUGCAUGAUAAAAAAUAAGAGCAAAAAUAUAGUAUGAUCUAUUGGAUAUUGUGUUGACUCACAAGGAAAGACCAAAAUACAAAAAAAAGGCAAAUGAUUGCUCUGCGUUGCAUGCCUACCUAGGCGAAUCUACAUGCCUAUGUAACAAAUUCAAGAUGCAUGGGUCUGCAUGUAGAGAGCACUAUCAAAUAAUCAAGGAAUUUGCGAGGGUUUACAUUAUCUUCAUAAGAGUUAUAUUGUUCGCUUAGACCUUAGACCUGCAAACAUAUUUCUAGAUGACAAUAUGAUGCUAAAAAUUGCGGAUUUUUGUUUCUCACGAUGCUUGGAGGAAAAACAAAGCCAAGCUAUUGCUUCAAAACAGUUUGGAUCUAUGUAAUCUAGCCAGCCAACAAUCUUCAAAAGCUCAAUUUCUUUGUGUAUUUUAUGAGUUUAUGCCUUCCUUUCCCCAUUCAUUAACAAGUUGAUAUGGACUUCUAUGCAGGGCAUCAGACUCUUAAGAUGGAAAAUCACAUUAGAGCUACACAUAUAGUUUUUGCCCUUACUAAUGGGAAAAAGGGGAUUGAUGAAAUGGGUGUGCCCAUGUAGAUUUACCUUUGUUAAUGUUGUUUGCAUGUUAAUAUCAGAUCUGUGUAUGUGUGUACAUAUUACAUCUCUUGCUGUCAUAACAUAUGAAUGCAAUAGGUUCUUGAUACUUUGGGGGUUAGGUUGGAGAAAUCACCAGGGGGAUAUUUGAUGCCUGUAGUACGCACAGGCUGUAGUCAUUGGCUUGACAAAACAGUUGUGCAGGUAAGCUCACUUAUGGACAACGGCUGCUCCGAGCUGGUGGAUGAGAUCAAGCCUCGCUGGUUGUCCAACAGAAAAAGGGUUCCGGUGGGCUGCAGCGAAAUGCACCCAAGAUAUAUUGGGAAGCCAUUCCAUCUAACUGUCCGUCCUUCAUGGAUAUCAUUACUGAAUUAGAGGUUUCCGGCAGCAGAUCAGAAGCAAGCAUGAAGAUGCUGUGGAGACAAGCCAAGAAGAAGGAACCGUCCAGGCAAUGCAGAGUGGCCCCUCUGCUCAUACUCCAUGGCACUAGAAAAGUAGCAUCUUGCCCGAUUUUGUCAUUGCUUCUUCGGACCUGAUUUUCACGGUCUCAUUCUCAAUUUCCGUUACAGCUCUCGUCUGGAUUAUCUCACAUAGAGCAAACCGGAGUGACCUUUAUGUCUAGUUUUCUGGUUUCGUUAACAUUUGGAUAAUUGGAUUGAUGGAUAUGUCAUCUAUGGAUGUAUUGGUUACGACUUGCAACUUUAAAUAGCUGCUACUCACA